rnacentral:lncRNA from 1 species
CCGGCCCCGCCCCGCGCGGGCCCCAUUGUCCGCGGCACCUGCCCGGCCCCGCCCCGCCCCGCCCGCCCCUUUGGCUCCCGCCCGGGACGCGGCCACCGCCCCCCGCCGAGCCCCCGCUGCGCCCCCGCCGAGCCCCCGCCACCCCGCUCCCAACUUCGCCUGGGCUCGCUUCUUCCUUUCGGCACCCGCAGACUCGGCAGCGAUGACUUUGAGAACGCUCCAGCUCUCAGUCAGCACCGGAGAAGACAAACAAACAAACAGCCCCCAACUAAACUGACGAUCUGGGGCAUCCAAACCUGAGUUCACAAUCCAGGCGAGAACCAGGAGACUUGAGCCUUCUGCUUACUUCUCCAUCAGCAUUUAUUUCCUAAUGGAGUUCAAGAGGACUACAGCAAGAGCAACUGAAGAAGCCCUGCUUCGAAGCCUCAUGGGCGACUCUCAUCUAGGAUACAGGGAGGUGGAUGCAAAUCACUGACAACAAACUGAAUGGAGCCCCAGGCAUCAGCAUGCUGAGCUGCUGGAUAACACAGGGCCAACACAGCACUGCCUGAAUUUCACCCUCCAUUUCUUUCAUUUUUCUUUCCAAUACCUAAAAAUAAGACAUUGAAGUGCCAAUCAAAUGGAAUGUCUUGUUCAGCAUGGAAUAAUGUUCUAGGGCCUCUAGUGCCAACAAGAAAACCUCCAAAAGAAUUAUUUGAUAUGUAAAACCAACACCAAAAAGCUGCUCGUUUGCGUGCGAAACAUCCACCAGCUGGUAGUAAGGAGUGGUGCUUGCUCCUUGACAUAUGGCCAUUAAUAAACAGCAUUAUAGCAUGUUAUCUACCUGUCCU